AUUGAACGCUGGCGGUAGGCCUAACACAUGCAAGUCGAACGGAAGAACGGUAAGUGCUUCUUCUUACGGGGGCGGAGUGGCGGGCGGGGGAGGAGAACAUGGGAAUUAGUUUUUUCUUGGGGGAUAACGUAGGGAAAAUUACGCCAUUCCUCCUUACGACGUAAGGGUGAGAGCAGGGGAUCUUCCGCCCUUGCGCGAUUGAAUGUCCGGAUGUCGGAUUAGCUAGUUGGAGGGGUAAAGGCCCACCAAGGCGACGAUCCGUAGCUGGUCUGAGAGGAUGAUCAGCCACACUGGAACUGAGACACGGUCCAGACUCCUACGGGAGGCAGCAGUGGGGAAUAUUGGACAAUGGGCGCAAGCCUGAUCCAGCCAUACCGCGUGUGUGAAGAAGGCCUUCGGGUUGUAAAGCCCUUUUGUUGGGAAAGAAAAGCAGCAGGUUAAUACCCCGCUGUUCUGACGGUACCCAAAGAAUAAGCACCGGCUAACUUCGUG
rnacentral:rRNA from 1 species